rnacentral:rRNA from 1 species
UUUAGAUCCUGGCGUCAGGAUGAACGCUGGCGGCGUGCUUAACACAUGCAAGUCGAACGAAGCACAGAAAGCAGAUUACUUCGGUUUGAAGCUUUCUGUGACUGAGUGGCGGACGGGUGAGUAACGCGUGGAUAACCUGCCUCACACAGGGGGAUAACAGUUAGAAAUGACUGCUAAUACCGCAUAAGCGCACAGUCUCGCAUGGGACAGUGUGAAAAACUGAGGUGGUGUGAGAUGGAUCCGCGUCUGAUUAGGCAGUUGGCGGGGUAACGGCCCACCAAACCGACGAUCAGUAGCCGGCCUGAGAGGGUGAACGGCCACAUUGGGACUGAGACACGGCCCAAACUCCUACGGGAGGCAGCAGUGGGGAAUAUUGCACAAUGGGGGAAACCCUGAUGCAGCGACGCCGCGUGAAGGAAGAAGUAUUUCGGUAUGUAAACUUCUAUCAGCAGGGAAGAAAGUGACGGUACCUGACUAAGAAGCCCCGGCUAACUACGUG